UCCCCGAAAACGACGCUGCCUUCGUAUGCGCUCCUCGUUCAAAUCCGAUCGCUCCAUAGAUCGAAGCAUCGGCCACUGCGACGGUGAUUACUUCCUCUGGUCUCCCCUGCUGCCUUCGAAACCCACCUCUCACCCUCCCCGAAUCCCAUCUCCCAAUGCCAUACCCCGAGAAAAACCCUAAAUCAAGAAUCGUUCCCGCCCGAUUCAUUUCAAGAAUCCGGUAUUGAAGUCAUAGUCCUUCUCUUGUCGAUCAAUUUGGGAAAAUCCUUGGCGAGGAAGCUCAUCAGCGUCUCCGAUGCUCGCUACGCUCCGAUCUCGCUUCCAUCUGCUGCCCUUCGUUAAUUUCAGUUUGAAAUAGCAAGCUCAGCGGCUGCAUGGAUCGGUGUGGAAUGUAAAUUCUGUAGUUUCAUCAAGGUGCUUAGUGAGUUUGGAAGUAGGCAUCCCCACCACCAUCACCGUAGCAGUUUUGAGGUCGAAGAUGUUGAUUACCGGACGAGUUAUCUUCAGGUAUGCAUAAAAACAAAUUAGCAAGGAACUGGUAAACACUCUUUAACAUUGUUAUCAUGAUCUGGAUUCUCACUCUUGCAGGGAAAUUAGUCAGGCCCAGAUUUUAUACAUAUGCAUAUAUAUCUUUUUCCAACUAGA